UACGGAGGAUGCGAGCGUUAUCCGGAUUUAUUGGGUUUAAAGGGUGCGCAGGCGGCUUGCUAAGCGGGGGGUGAAAUGCCGGCGCUCAACGUCGGAAGAGCCUCCCGAACUGGUGGGCUGGAAUGACUCUGCCGUGGGAGGAAUGUGUAGUGUAGCGGUGAAAUGCUUAGAGAUUACACAGGACACCGAUUGCGAAGGCAUCUCACGAAGGGUUGAUUGACGCUGAGGCACGGAAGCGUGGGGAUCAAAC
rnacentral:rRNA from 1 species